UACGUAGGGCGCAAGCGUUGUCCGGAAUUAUUGGGCGUAAAGAGCUCGUAGGCGGUUUGUCGCGUCUGCUGUGAAAACCUAAGGCUCAACCUUGGGCUUGCAGUGGGUACGGGCAGACUAGAGUGCGGUAGGGGUGACUGGAAUUCCUGGUGUAGCGGUGGAAUGCGCAGAUAUCAGGAGGAACACCGAUGGCGAAGGCAGGUCACUGGGCCGCAACUGACGCUGAGGAGCGAAAGCAUGAGGAGCGAACAGG
rnacentral:rRNA from 1 species